AGACGGUUAGUCUAAGAAAAGACCGCUGAUUUCGGCUCAGCAAAUCGUGGAUCAACCCCAUGGCCGUCUU
rnacentral:tRNA from 1 species